GCGGACGAGGGUACAGCGGUAGCACUGUCCGCCUAUACAGCGUCUAUGGAAAGCCCUGGUUUGAAUCCGGGUCGUUGCC